CGCUGAUAGAUAGGCAUGCGUUCCAUUAGGCAGUUGGCGGGGUAACGGCCCACCAAACCGACGAUGGAUAGGGGUUCUGAGAGGAAGGUCCCCCACAUUGGUACUGAGACACGGACCAAACUCCUACGGGAGGCAGCAGUGAGGAAUAUUGGUCAAUGGGCGUAAGCCUGAACCAGCCAAGUCGCGUGAGGGAUGAAGGUUCUAUGGAUCGUAAACCUCUUUUAUAAGGGAAUAAAGUGCGGGACGUGUCCCGUUUUGUAUGUACCUUAUGAAUAAGGAUCGGCUAACUCCGUGCCAGCAGCCGCGGUAAUACGGAGGAUCCGAGCGUUAUCCGGAUUUAUUGGGUUUAAAGGGUGCGUAGGCGGCCUUUUAAGUCAGCGGUGAAAGUCUGUGGCUCAACCAUAGAAUUGCCGUUGAAACUGGGAGGCUUGAGUAUGUUUGAGGCAGGCGGAAUGCGUGGUGUAGCGGUGAAAUGCUUAGAUAUCACGCAGAACCCCGAUUGCGAAGGCAGCCUGCCAAGCCAUGACUGACGCUGAUGCACGAAAGCGUGGGGAUCAAACAGGAUUAGAUACCCUGGUAGUCCACGCAGUAAACGAUGAUCACUAGCUGUUUGCGAUACACAGUAA
rnacentral:rRNA from 1 species